rnacentral:rRNA from 1 species
UACGAAGGGGGCUAGCGUUGUUCGGAAUUACUGGGCGUAAAGCGCGUGUAGGCGGCCCUGCAAGUCGGAUGUGAAAUCCCACGGCUCAACCGUGGAAGUGCACUCGAAACUGCAGGGCUAGAGUCCUGGAGAGGAAGGUGGAAUGCUUGGUGUAGAGGUGAAAUUCGUAGAUAUCAAGCGGAACACCGGUGGCGAAGGCGGCCUUCUGGACAGUGACUGACGCUGAGACGCGAAAGCGUGGGGAGCAAACAGG